AUUGAACGCUGGCGGCAUGCUUUACACAUGCAAGUCGAACGGUAACAGGCCGCUAGGUGCUGACGAGUGGCGAACGGGUGAGUAAUGCAUCGGAACGUGCCCAGUCGUGGGGGAUAACUACUCGGAAGAGUAGCUAAUACCGCAUACGAUCUAUGGAUGAAAGCGGGGGACCGUAAGGCCUCGCGCGAUUGGAGCGGCCGAUGUCAGCUUAGGUAGUUGGUGGGGUAAAGGCUCACCAAGCCAACGAUCUGUAGCUGGUCUGAGAGGACGACCAGCCACACUGGGACUGAGACACGGCCCAGACUCCGACGGGAGGCAGCAGUGGGGAAUUUUGGACAAUGGGCGCAAGCCUGAUCCAGCAAUGCCGCGUGCAGGAAGAAGGCCUUCGGGUUGUAAACUGCUUUUGUGCGGAACGAAACGGCUCUGGUUAAUACCCGGGGCUAAUGACGGUACCGAAAGAAUAAGCACCGGCUAACUACGUG
rnacentral:rRNA from 1 species